UGGAGCCAGCAGUUGCAACCCGCUGGCGUCCCCUUCCACACCGUGGAAGGUUUGUUCUUUCGCUCUUUUCAAUAAAUCUUGCUACCGCUCACUCUUUGGGUCCAGACUGCCUUUAUGAACUGUAACACUCACCUCCAAGGUCUGCAGCUUCACUCCUGAAGCCAGUGAGACCACGAGCCCACCAGGAGGAACGAACAACUCCAGACGCGCCGCCUUAAGAGCUGUAACACUCACUGCUAAGGUCUACAGCUUCAUUCCUGAGCCAGCGAGACCACGAACCCACCAGAAGGAAGAAACUCUGAACACAUCCAAACAUCAGAAGGAAUAAACUCCGGACAUGCCGCCUUUAAGAACUGUAACACUCACCGUGUUAAGAACUGUAACACUCACCGUGAGGGUCUGCGGCAUCAUUCUUGAAAAUCAAGUUAAAGUUUUGUUCUGAAAUUUCAAGGCCUUUCACACCAAUUUGAUACGGUUUGGAUUUGUGUCCCUGCUGGAAUGUAAAGUUGAACUGUAAUCCCGGAUGCUGGAUGAGGGACCUGCUGGGAGGUGAUUGCAUCAUGGGGGCAUAUUUCCCCCUUGCUGUUCUCAUGAUGACACAAAUGAACAGCAGAACUCUUGCUCCCAUGAAUUGGCAAGUAUAGUCAGAAGUCUCCCCACUGUGGAUGGGAGACAGAAAAGAAAGAAAGAGCCUGAAUUACUGAGGGGGUGAGUAAAUAGCCACAUUAGUCCAGGACUCCUAUCUCUCCAAUUAUUAUAUAGGACAAAUAAGUUGGUAUUUCUUCAUGACACUCUUUGCCUAGGUUUUCUGUUAUAUACAGACAAAUUCAUCCUUUAAAAAUAGAGAUAUAACAUGGAUAUAUUGUUCUAAAUGGAACUGGAAAUGUUGUGGAAUACUAUGGCGUUACGAUUUUCAUAUAACUAAUAACAUAAUAGAAUUUAAAAAAUGCCCUCUCCCACAGGUGGUCAUUUAAAAAACUUGUAUUAGUUUUUAGAGGUUCAUUAAAAUGAAUUAUUGGCAAUGUGUUUUAAA
rnacentral:lncRNA from 1 species